GGGGUUGUGGCUCAGUGGUAGAGAGCUCGCCUAGCACGUGCGAGGCCCUGAGUUCAACCCUCAGCACCA
rnacentral:tRNA from 1 species